rnacentral:misc_RNA from 1 species
UUACAAUGGGAGUUACAGAGGGAAGCUAAACCGCGAGGUCAUGCCAAUCCCAGAAAACUUUCUCAGUUCGGAUCGCAGUCUGCAACUCGACUGCGUGAAGCUGGAAUCGCUAGUAAUCGCGGAUCAGCACGCCGCGGUGAAUACGUUCCCGGGCCUUGUACACACCGCCCGUCACACCAUGGGAGCCGACAAGGGCAGAAGUCGCCGAGCUAACCCAGCACCUUUUUUGGGUAUGGAGCAUGAGAAUAUUAUUCAGAUAUUCGUGCCCAAAAAUGGUGCUGGGAGGCAGGCGCCCAAGCUGUUGUUGACGACUGGGGUGAAGUCGUAACAAGGUAGCCGUAGGAGAACCUGCGGCUGGAUCACCUCCUUUCUAAGGACGCCGGAGAUGCUUUAUGCUUAUCUCCGGAUAGUCAAAGUCGAAACAGACUCUCUUCUCUUCUCUCCCUUUUCUCCUGUAAAUGCUAAGUUAUGAAUUUAGAGCAACGGAGAAAUUAAAUUCGUUACUGUGGACUCCUAAUUUCAAGAGGGGCCUGUAGCUCAGCUUGGUUAGAGCGCAUCCCUGAUAAGGAUGAGGCCGGUGGUUCAAGUCCACCCAGGCCCACCAGCUCAUUUUUGAUUUAGAUAUGGAUUUGGAUUUAGCGGCUAUGAUGGUGGCAAAUCUGAGGUCUGGUAAUCCAAAUCAGAUAUUAAAGAUCGGGGGAUUAGCUCAGCUGGUAGAGCGCCUGCUUUGCAAGCAGGAGGUCAGCGGUUCGACCCCGCUAUCCUCCACCAAAUUAAGGUACAGUAAAAAAAGGUGGUGCAGCUUAAGCAGAAGAUAAGCUUCAGCAAUUAUUUAAUAAUUUCUGAAUUUUAUUUUUUAAUUUCUUAGACAAUUAAAUCGGAGGUUUUGGAGACACAAGAUCAAAUGUGAGGGUCUCCAAGGGUUGACGAUCUUGACUGUUAAAGUCAGGUAGUAAGGGCGCAGGGCGGAUGCCUUGGCUCUGGGAAGCGAAGAAGGACGUGGCCAGCUGCGAUAAGCCUCGGG